rnacentral:misc_RNA from 1 species
ACAGAAGACAGAAGACGGAGCGGCGUGCGGCAGCACGCCUGUGUGAUCGGUAAUCAGAUAACUGAAUGCCGACCACCGCUCAGUCCUCAGUCCUCUGUCCA